AUAUUUACUUUCAGACAUGAAUAUUCUCCUUUAUACUUGGCACAGGCUUAUUCCAUCCUGAAUAUGCCAAAUAACGGUGAUUGAGUUCAGCUCGCCAAUGAAUUCCAUAUAGUGAUUCGAUCCCUCCCGUAAGAGGUUGCUUUUUGCAGUAAAUUAAACGCCGAAUCCUGGAAUGUAAGAGACCCAUACUACACAUUACACAUGGUUCAUGAGUCAUAACAACAGUGAGAUCUUUGCACAAAUAUCUGUCUUUACUGCCAUCAGUACGAUUUUGUCGGCGAGAUAAUUCACGUUUUGCGACUAAAUUGAUGGCAUUCAUCACACAGUGGUUUAUAGGAUUUUUUAAUUUUGAACGUUCAUCUACGGACACCGCGAGCACUGUAUCAGUAGUGGGAUCAUAAAUAGCAGCAGCACAUCCUAUUUCGCCAUGUUUGUGAGAAGCACCGGCAGCGUUUAUGAGAUCUUCCAAUAUUGAUUCUAUCCUUUUUAACUCAUGUACAGUAAACACGUCUUGCCUUUGGACAUGUUUUCUAUAAGAAACGGGCCAAACUGAGUUCCAUUCAUGAAACUGUUCGUCUGUCAAAGGCGGAAAUGCAGGAACAGCAUAGAGAAAUAUCAUUUUUGAAACAAUUCCAAGGUCUUCAAAAUCUUUACCGAUUUCGUUGGCAGUCAUUGAUUUUUCUGGACAAAUGAUUAUCUGGAGUUCUAGUGAACCAUUUUCAUCUUGUAUCCUUCUUAGUCUAUUACAAUGUAACAGACUUUCUUUUUGUUUAGAACGUAUUUGUUUCACAUAUUGUGUUACUUUUGAUGCAUAUUUUGGCUCGAAACACGCAAUCCAUACAUUUUCUUCUUUUGUCAGCAAGCAACUCUAUAAACUCACACUACAUACCUGUUUCAAGUUUCCUUGUUUCUAAAUGAGAUUUUAUUAAUUUAAAAGGCCAAUCCAACUCAGGAACAGUGGCUUCUUUAGGUGAAUUUUUAGAAAUAUUAGUUUUCACCAUAUAAGUUGUAUUCAAAAAUGGUAUUGUCCACAAUAGGUGCUUGA